rnacentral:rRNA from 1 species
UGGAGAGUUUGAUCCUGGCUCAGGACGAACGCUGGCGGCGUGCCUAAUACAUGCAAGUCGAGCGCGGGAAGCGAGUGGAUCCCUUCGGGGUGAAGCUCGUGGAACGAGCGGCGGACGGGUGAGUAACACGUGGGCAACCUGCCUGUAAGAUCGGAAUAACCCCGGGAAACCGGGGCUAAUGCCGGGUAAUACUUUCUUUCGCAUGAAGGAAAGUUGAAAGAUGGCUUCUUGCUAUCACUUACAGAUGGGCCCGCGGCGCAUUAGCUAGUUGGUGAGGUAACGGCUCACCAAGGCGACGAUGCGUAGCCGACCUGAGAGGGUGAUCGGCCACACUGGGACUGAGACACGGCCCAGACUCCUACGGGAGGCAGCAGUAGGGAAUCUUCCGCAAUGGACGAAAGUCUGACGGAGCAACGCCGCGUGAACGAUGAAGGUCUUCGGAUCGUAAAGUUCUGUUGUUAGGGAAGAACAAGUACCGUGCGAAUAGAGCGGUACCUUGACGGUACCUAACGAGGAAGCCCCGGCUAACUACGUGCCAGCAGCCGCGGUAAU